rnacentral:rRNA from 1 species
AACGAACGCUGGCGGCAGGCCUAACACAUGCAAGUCGAACGCUCCAGCAAUGGAGAGUGGCAGACGGGUGAGUAACGCGUGGGAACCUUCCCAGUGGUACGGAAUAGCCCAGGGAAACUUGGGGUAAUACCGUAUAAGCCCUUCGGGGGAAAGAUUUAUCGCCAUUGGAUGGGCCCGCGUCGGAUUAGCUUGUUGGUGAGGUAAAAGCUCACCAAGGCGACGAUCCGUAGCUGGUCUGAGAGGAUGAUCAGCCACACUGGGACUGAGACACGGCCCAGACUCCUACGGGAGGCAGCAGUGGGGAAUAUUGGACAAUGGGCGCAAGCCUGAUCCAGCCAUGCCGCGUGAGUGACGAAGGCCUUAGGGUUGUAAAGCUCUUUUGGCGGGGACGAUAAUGACGGUACCCGCAGAAUAAGCUCCGGCUAACUUCGUG